AUUUUUUUCUACAGUGAGGGAAACCGUAAACCAAAACAGAAAGACAACCUACUGAAUGGGAGAAGAUAUUUGCAAGUGAUAUAUUUGAUGGGAGAUUAAUACCCAAAAUAAAUAACAUAUACAACUCAAUACUGGGAAAAAAAAUCUUAUUUAAAAAUGGACAGAAGACCUGAAUAGACAUUUUUCCUAAGAAGACCUACAGAUGGCCAACAGACACUUGAAAAUGUGCUCAACAUCACACAUCAUGAGUGAUCAUGAGAUAUCCCUUUACACAUGUCAGAAUGGCUAAAAUCAAAGUGACAAGAAACAGUAAAUGUUGAAAAGGAUAUGGAGAAAAAGGAACCCUAAUGUGCUGUUUCUGGGAAUGCAAACUGAUGAAGCCACUGUGGAAAACGGAGUAGAAUUGCCAUAUGGUACAGUAACUCUAUUAACUGGGUAUUUAUCCAAAGAAAUGAAAACACUAAUUUGGGAAGAUACACGCACCCCUAUGUGUAUUGCAGCAUUAUUUUCUAGACAAGAUAUGGAAGCAACCCAAAUGUCCGUAUAGAUGAAAGGAUAAAGAAGAUGUGAGAUAAAUAUAUAUAUAUACACACACACACACUCAAUGGACUUACUCAGCCAUAAAAAAACAUGCGAUCUUGCCAUUGACAGCAACAUCGAUGGACCUAUAGGGUAUAAUGCUGAGUGAAGUAAGAGAAAGACCAGUACAAUAUGAUUUUACUCAUAUGUGGAAUUUAAGACACCAAAAUAAGUGAAAAAAACAAAAAAGACCAAAACACAAACAAAAACCCCACUCUUAAAUACAGAGAACAAAGCGGUGGCUGCCAGAGGGGAGGUGGAUGGAGGAAAAGAGGGUGAAAUAGGUGAAGGGGAUUAAGAGUACAUUUACCUUGAUGAACACUGACUAACAUAUAGAAUGGUUGAAUCACUAUAUUGUUAUUGUACACCUGAAACAUAUAACACUAUGUGAAUUCUACUUUCAAAAAUUUCCCCUUGGAGUAUUUAUCAUUAUGUAAUGCUUUCCUUGUUCUGAAGCCUGCUCUCUGAAAUUAAUAUAGCUAUACUUUGGGGGGUGGGAUUAAUACUAGCAUGAUAUAUCUUUUUCCAUUCACUUUUUUUUUUUUUUUUUUUUUUUUUUUUUUUUAGAGAGAGAGAGAGCACACUCUCAGGAACAGGGGACAGGCAGAGGGAAAGGCAUAGAGCAAAUCUUAAGCAAGCUCCACGCUCAGCACGGAGCCCCGUGAAGCUCUAUCUCACAACCAUGAGAUCAUGACCUGAGCCAAAAUCAAGAGUUGGACGCUUAACCACCUGAGCCACCCAGGGGCCCAACCUUUCAUUUACCUUUAAUCUAUAUGUGUCUUACAUUGAAAGUAGUUUUCUUGUAGAUAACAUAUAGUUGGGUCCUGUUUCUUGUACACUCUGACAAUCACUUUUACUAGAUGUACUUAGACCAUUAUUAACAUUUAAACUGCUCAUUAAUAUAGUUAGAUUAAUAUCCACCAUAUUUGUUUUCUACUCUUACCCUUGUUCUUUGUUCCUAUUUUUUGUCUUCUACCCUUUUUCUGCUUUUUAUGGUUGUAACUGAGAAUUUUAUAUGACUCAUUUUCUCUCCCUGCUUAGAAGGAUAUCAAUUAUACUUUUUUUUUUUUUUAAGUGGUUGCCUAGGGUUUUUGACAUAGUAUUUAAAAUUAAUUCAGGGCCAUUUUCCAAGAACACUAUAGGGGCGCCUGGGUAGUGUCAGUACCAAAUAAUAACAAAACAAUCCUACUUCCUUCGUCUGGUUCUUUGUAUCAUUUGUAUCAUCAUUCAUAUCAUAUACAUGUGAGCAAUCCAAGGGUAAUGAAUGUAUGUAUGUAUACAGGCACACUCAUAUAUGCGUACUUGAAAAGAUAAUCUAGGGGUGCCUGGGUGGCUCAGUUGGUUAAGCAACCAACUGUGGCUCAGGUCAUGAUCUCACAACUCGUGAGUUCGAGCCCCACGUCGGGCUCUGUGCUGACAGCUCAGAGCCUGGAGGCUGCUUCAGAUUCUGUGUGUCCCCCUCCCUCUACCCCUCCCCUGCUCGUGCUCUGUGUCUCUCCAUCUCUCAAUAAUAAAUAAAUGUUUAAAAAUUUUUUUUCAAAGAAAAGAUCUAGUACAUUUCUGCUAUUAUUAUUGAACAAAUCGUUAACUAUUAGAUCAACAGAGAAAAGGAAAAAUAAAAGCUUUUCUUUUACCUUCA